rnacentral:rRNA from 1 species
CGGGUGAGUAAUGCGUGACCAACCUGCCCCAUGCUCCAGAAUAGCUCUUGGAAACGGGUGGUAAUGCUGGAUGCUCCAACUUGACGCAUGUCUUGUUGGGAAAGUGUUUAGUGGCAUGGGAUGGGGUCGCGUCCUAUCAGCUUGUAGGCGGGGUAAUGGCCCACCUAGGCUUCGACGGGUAGCCGGCCUGAGAGGGCGGACGGCCACAUUGGGACUGAGAUACGGCCCAGACUCCUACGGGAGGCAGCCAGCC